UGUCUUUUUGAAAAUAAUAUAAAGUCUAAUCUGCCCACUGAUUUAAAUUAAAGGGCUGCAGUAUAUUGACUGUACAAAGGUAGCAUAAUCAUUAGUCAUUUAAUUGAUGACUUGUAUGAAAGAUUGGAUGAAAUAUAAGCUGUCUCUUAAUUAAAGAUAGAAUUUAAUUUUUUAAUUAAAAAGUUAAAAUAGUUUAAAAAGACGAGAAGACCCUAUAGAGUUUUAUAAAUAAAUUAAUUAAGAUUAUUUAUUAAAAUUAAAAUUAAUUUAUUUAUUCUAUUGGGGUGAUAGAAAAAUAUAUUUAACUUUUUUUUUAUGAAAACAUUUAUAAGUGAUUAAAUGAUCCAUUAUUAAUGAUUAUAAGAAAAAAUUACCUUAGGGAUAACAGCGUAAUUUUUUUUUUUAGUUCACAUAAGAAAAAGAGUUUGCGACCUCGAUGUUGGAUUAAGAUAAAAUUUAAAUGCAGAAG
rnacentral:rRNA from 1 species